ensembl:snoRNA small nucleolar RNA SNORD70
AAGACUGCUGCCUAUGAUUACAUUUGCUGUCAGAAAUGUCCGUGUAGAUUUUCCUCAGCAUUCGUCACUACCACUGAGGCAGCAGUUUU